ensembl:lncRNA
AUUUGAUUUGCGGCACUCACCCGUGGGAGCCUGGCUGCGUCUGCUGCUUUCUAAUUGCAGGUGGGAAGCCCAGGGACUCUGAGGUGAAGCACACACAGGUAGCCUCGCUGAGACACACUACCAGCCUGGGCACAAGCCAUGCCUUCAGAUAGCUCAGAAGAUGUAUCUGACUUGGCCUCCUGGCCCAACAGAAGAUACUGCCUGGCCGAAGUAGAAAUGGCAGUCCAAGGCAAGAAAGGAGAGAAAUCCAAUAUGAUUCAGGUCAUUCACAGUCUUGCAGACCUGAUGCGCUAUGCUUGCCCAUCCACAACACUGGAGAAGUUGGCCGAGGUGACGACAGCCAACUGAA